AUGAAUUAUGUGCGUUCUUGGAUGCAAUUCUGUGUUUAACAUGUAGUUAAUUAAUCCCAUAAUCGGUCAAAUAGAUCCGUAGAUCUGAUUUAUUUGUGAAUGCAUGACUUCCGCUGUGCAAGGGGUCAUUUUGGAACUCACAAGUAAAGGGAAAGGAAGUGCAUGCACAAUUAGAAGAUGAGGAACAGUAGAGCUACAUAGGUCAGCCAUUAGGCUGCAAACUAGAAUCAAGAUCAGCUCCCUUUACCACAUCCACACGUUUCAUCAAAGGGGGAAAGUGAACAAAUGGACACUGUGGGACAAGCUUACUAGACAGGUCCAUUUAGGCAAUCAGCCUGCCAUUCCAUCUCCCACGAAAAUAGUCAAAAGGGCAGCCCCAAGGUUUUCAUCGAAUAGGUAAGAUUCCCAUAAACAUUAAACUCAAAAGGAGACUGAGGUUGUAACCAAAAUUGGGAUCACAAUGCCCCAAAUCUCUGCCACAAGAAGCCAAAGGAAUGGCUUAUAAAUACCGCCCUCCCCUCCCCACUCCACACAUUUUUUCUGCAAAAUUCUCGCAAGGCAAGGGAGUGCAGCGGAGUAAGGAGCGGCGAUGCGGAGCAGCGGCAGUGAGGAGGGCAGACCGAGAGGGUGCACCGAGCAAGGUUGAACGUCAAGAUGGAGAAGAAUUGAUCGGAGUCAAUGCUAUUACAUAAUCGUGUGGAUUUCUCGACGAUUCGUGUCUUCAUACACGAAGUCGUUCAGCAGGGACCUAUUCCGCUGUGUUUUGGUAAAUGAGAAUAGUAAUGUCUCAUCAUUGAACUCUGAUUCAGUUGACAUGUCAAAUUAUUCUAUUCUGAGAUUGUAUCAAAUACUUGACUGUUAUUUUGUAAUAUCACAUUUGGCCUUCGGCAAGUCCUUCAGAUUCUACCCCAUUUCUAUCCCCGCUUCUUUAAUCCCCCAUUAGUCGUGAAUUACUCAAUCUUGUUAUCCUUAACAAGAAUUGGGUUGUGACAUUUUUACUGACCAAAUGAUAUGAUUUCGGUGUGACAUUUUAA